rnacentral:rRNA from 1 species
GAGUUUGAUCAUGGCUCAGAUUGAACGCUGGCGGAAUGCUUUACACAUGCAAGUCGAACGGCAGCACGGGUGCUUGCACCUGGUGGCGAGUGGCGAACGGGUGAGUAAUACAUAGGAACAUACCCAGUAAUGGGGGAUAACGCCGAGAAAUCGGUGCUAAUACCGCAUACGCCCUACGGGGGAAAGCGGGGGAUCUUCGGACCUCGCGUUAUUGGAUUGGCCUAUGUCUGAUUAGCUAGUUGGUGAGGUAAAGGCUCACCAAGGCUUCGAUCAGUAGCUGGUCUGAGAGGAUGAUCAGCCACACUGGAACUGAGACACGGUCCAGACUCCUACGGGAGGCAGCAGUGGGGAAUUUUGGACAAUGGGCGAAAGCCUGAUCCAGCCAUUCCGCGUGAGUGAAGAAGGCCUUCGGGUUGUAAAGCUCUUUCGGCAGGAACGAAAUGGUCACGGUUAAUAACUGUGACUUCUGACGGUACCUGAAGAAGAAGCACCGGCUAACUACGUGCCAGCAGCCGCGGUAAUACGUAGGGUGCGAGCGUUAAUCGGAAUUACUGGGCGUAAAGCGUGCGCAGGCGGUUUUGUAAGUCAGAUGUGAAAGCCCCGGGCUUAACCUGGGAAUGGCGUUUGAAACUAC